CAGACUCCUACGGGAGGCAGCAGUGGGGAAUUUUGGACAAUGGGCGCAAGCCUGAUCCAGCUAUUCCGCGUGUGGGAUGACGGCCCUCGGGUUGUAAACCACUUUAGUGGAGAACGAAAAGGAGCUAUCGAAUAAAUGGCUCUGCUGACGGUACUCUAAGAAUAAGCACCGGCUAACUACGUGCCAGCAGCCGCGGUAAUACGUAGGGUGCGAGCGUUAAUCGGAAUUACUGGGCGCAAAGGGUGUGCAGGCGGCUGAGUAAGACAGAUGUGAAAUCCCCGGGCUUAACCUGGGAACCGCAUAUGUGACUGCUUGGCUAGAGUGCGUCAGAGGGAGGUGGAAUUCCACGUGUAGCAGUGAAAUGCGUAGAUAUGUGGAAGAACACCGAUGGCGAAGGCAGCCUCCUGGGACGCAACUGACGCUCAUACACGAAAGCGUGGGGAGCAAACAGGAUUAGAUACCCUGGUAGUCCACGCCCUAAACGAUGUCAACUAGUUGUUGGGGAUUAAAUUCCUCA
rnacentral:rRNA from 1 species